rnacentral:rRNA from 1 species
UGGGGAAUAUUGGACAAUGGGCGCAAGCCUGAUCCAGCCAUGCCGCGUGAGUGAUGAAGGCCUUAGGGGUGUAAAGCUCUUUUAGCGGGGACGAUAAUGACGGUACCCGCAGAAAAAGCCCCGGCCAACUUCGUGCCAGCAGCCGCGGUAAUACGAAGGGGGCUAGCGUUGCUCGGAAUCACUGGGCGUAAAGCGCACGUAGGUGGGUCGUUAAGUAGAGGGUGAAAUCCCAGGGCUCAACCCUGGAACUGCCUUCGAUACUGGCGACCUUCGAGUCCGGGAGAGGUGAGUAGAACUGCGAGUGUAGAGGGGAAAUUCGUAGAUAUUCGCAAGAACACCAGUGGCGAAGGCGGCUCACUGGCCCGGUACUGACACUGAGGUGCGAGAGCGUGGGGAGCAAACA